rnacentral:tRNA from 1 species
GGCUCCAUCGUCUAACGGUUAGGACAUCGGCUUCUCAAGCCGGCAAUCCGGGUUCGAUUCCCGGUGGAGUCA